GACGGAGGGUGCAAGCGUUAUUCGGAAUCAUUGGGCGUAAAGAGCGUGUAGGCGGCCGGUUAAGUCAGGUGUGAAAGCCCGGGGCUCAACCUCGGAAGUGCACUUGAAACUGGUCGGCUUGAGUUCGGGAGAGGGAAGCGGAAUUCCUGGUGUAGAGGUGAAAUUCGUAGAUAUCAGGAGGAACACCGGUGGCGAAGGCGGCUUCCUGGACCGAAACUGACGCUGAGACGCGAAAGCGUGGGGAGCAAACAGG
rnacentral:rRNA from 1 species